GACGAACGCUGGCUGCGUGCUUAACACAUGCAAGUCGAGCGAGGCCCAUCUUUCGGGGUGGUGCCCUAGCGGCGAACGGGUGAGUAACACGUGGGCAACCUGCCCUCAGCUCUGGGAUAACUCCAAGAAAUUGGUGCUAAUACCGGAUGUGACCGCUGACCGCAUGGUCUGGUGGUGGAAAGAUUCAUCGGCUGAGGAUGGGCCCGCGGCCUAUCAGCUUGUUGGUGGGGUGAUGGCCUACCAAGGCGACGACGGGUAGCCGGCCUGAGAGGGUGACCGGCCACACUGGGACUGAGACACGGCCCAGACUCCUACGGGAGGCAGCAGUGGGGAAUAUUGCGCAAUGGGCGGAAGCCUGACGCAGCGACGCCGCGUGGGGGAUGACGGCCUUCGGGUUGUAAACCUCUUUCAGUAGGGACGAAGCCGUGAGGUGACGGUACCUACAGAAGAAGCACCGGCCAACUACGUGCCAGCAGCCGCGGUAAUACGUAGGGUGCAAGCGUUGUCCGGAAUUAUUGGGCGUAAAGAGCUCGUAGGCGGUCUGUCGCGUCGGCUGUGAAAUCCCGAGGCUCAACCUCGGGCCUGCAGUCGAUACGGGCAAACUAGAGUGUUGCAGGGGAGACUGGAAUUCCUGGUGUAGCGGUGAAAUGCGCAGAUAUCAGGAGGAACACCGGUGGCGAAGGCGGGUCUCUGGGCAACAACUGACGCUGAGGAGCGAAAGCGUGGGGAGCGAACAGGAUUAGAUACCCUGGCAGUCCACGCCGUAAACGUUGGGCGCUAGGUGUGGGGGCCAUUCCACGGUCUCCGUGCCGCAGCUAACGCAUUAAGCGCCCCGCCUGGGGAGUACGGCCGCAAGGCUAAAACUCAAAGGAAUUGACGGGGGCCCGCACAAGCGGCGGAGCAUGUUGCUUAAUUCGAUGCAACGCGAAGAACCUUACCUAGGCUUGACAUGCACGGAAAUCUGUCAGAGAUGGCAGGUCCUUUGGGGUCGUGCACAGGUGGUGCAUGGUUGUCGUCAGCUCGUGUCGUGAGAUGUUGGGUUAAGUCCCGCAACGAGCGCAACCCUCGUUCUAUGUUGCCAGCACGUGAUGGUGGGGACUCAUAGGAGACUGCCGGGGUCAACUCGGAGGAAGGUGGGGAUGACGUCAAAUCAUCAUGCCCCUUAUGUCUAGGGCUGCAAACAUGCUACAAUGGCCGGUACAAAGGGCUGCGAUACCGUGAGGUGGAGCGAAUCCCAAAAAGCCGGUCUCAGUUCGGAUUGGGGUCUGCAACUCGACCCCAUGAAGUUGGAGUCGCUAGUAAUCGCAGAUCAGCAACGCUGCGGUGAAUACGUUCCCGGGCCU
rnacentral:rRNA from 1 species